UAGUCUCUCAAGAAUGGCAAAUUGUGCGGAGGAGAUUAAAGAUGGCUGACUAGAGGCAUCUGACAGUCACCUCCUCCAUAAAGAAGAAUCAAAAUAGCGAGUAAAUACUGGAUUUCAAAAGUGAAGUGACAAGAAACACCUAAAAGGAAAGAGAAAGAAGUGAGGCAGUCUGUUUGGCAGGAUCAGCUGGGAGCCCAGAGAAGCUCCCCAACGUGAGAAAAGGCUUGACUAUAAUGUGCUGUGGAGAAUGUCUUUUUGCAUUAUAAAUAUUUGAGAAUCUCUGAGCUUCUUGUAUCCAGAUGUGUAAACAUCCUGCUAGACUCGGGAAGUUUUCCACUAUUAAUAAAACUGGAAUAAAAGUGGACUAAAACUAGCAAUCAAUAAGAGUAACUUUGGAAAUGAUACAAAUACAUGGAAGUUAAACAACGUGCUCCUGAAUAACCACUGGGUCAAUGAAGAAAUUAAGAGAGAAAAUUUUAAAAAUGUAUUGAAACAAAAGAAAAUUGAAACACAGCAUACCCAAAACUAUGGGAUAUAGCAAAAGCAGUGCUAAGAUGGACAUUUGUAGCAGUAAUACCUACAUCAGAAAAAUGGAAGAUUUCAAAUAAACAGUCUAAUGAUGCACCUCAAGGAACUUGAAAAGCAAGAACAAACCACAUCCAAGAUUAGUGGAAGGAAAGAAACGAUAAAGAUCAGAGCAGAACUAAAUAAAAUAGAGACUUAAAAAAACAAUACAGGCCGGUCACUGUGGCUCACGCCUGUAAUCCCAGCACUUUGGGAGGCCGAUGCGGGCGGAUCACGAGGUCAGAAGAUCGAGACCAUCCUGGCUAACACGGUGAAACCCCGUCUCUACUAAAAAUACAAAAAAUUAGCCGGGCGUGUUGGUGGGCACCUGGUAGUCCCAUCUACUCGGGAGGCUGAGGCAGGAGAAUGGCGUGAACCUCGGAGGCGGAGCUUGAAGUGAGCCGAGAUUGAGCCACUGCACUCCAGCCUGGGCGACAGAGCAAGACUCCAUCUCAAAAAAAAAAAAAAAAAAAAUACAAAGGAUUAAUGAAAUGAAUAGUCUCAUUAGAGACUAUUAUGAACAACUAUGCACUAACAAACCGGAAAACCUAGAGGAAAUGGAUAAAUUCCUGAACACAUACCAUCUUCUAAGGUUGAAUCAGAAAAAAAAUAGAAAACCUGAACAGACCAAUGAGUAACAAGAUUAAACCAGUAAUAAAAAGUCUCUGAGGAAAGAAAAGCCGAAGACCAGAUGCUUCACUGCCAAAUUGUACCAAAUGUAUAAAGAAUUAAUGCUAAUUUUCCUGAAACUAUUCCAAAAAGUUGAAGAGGAGGGAAUUACCCCUAACUCAUUCUAUGAUACCAGAUGCUGUCUCUCCUGCUCUGCCGUGUGAAGAUUAUGCUUGCUUCCCCUUCGACUUCCACCAUGAUUAUAAGUUUCCUCAGGCCUCCCUAGCCAUGCCUCCUGCACAGCCUGUGAAACUGUGAUUCAAUUAAACCUCUUUUCUUUAUGAGUUACCCAGUCUCAGGUAGUUCUUUAUAGCAGUGUGAGAAAAGACUAAUACAAUAAUGAAGGACAAAAACCAUAUGAUCAUCUCAAAAGAUGCAAAAAAAAGCAUUUGAUAAAAUUCAACUUGUCUUCAUGAUAAAAACUCUUCACAAACCAAAAACCCCACCAAAAAACUCUUAAAACUAAGAAAUUCAGUAAAGUCUCAGGAUACAAAAUCAAUAAUUAAAAUUAGUAAUAUUUCUAUACACCAAUAAUGAACUAGCUGAAAAAAAAUCAAGAAGGCAAUACCAUUUACAAUAGCUACAAAAAAUACCUAGGAAUAAAUUUACCCAAGUGGAUGAAUGACUACAAGGAAAACUACAAAACACUGAUAAAAUAAACUGAAGAGGACACAAACAAAUGGAAAGACAUCUCAUGCGCAUGGAUCAGAAAAAUUAACAGUGUUGAAAUGCCCAUACUACCCAAAGCCAUCUAUAGAUUCAAUGCAAUUGCUAUCAAAAUAUCAAUGUCAUUUUUUAUAGAAACAGAAAAAAAAUCCUAAAAUUUGUACAGAACCAAGAAAGAGCCUGUAUUAGUCUGUUUUCACACUGCUGUAAAGAAACACCACAACUGGGUAAUUUAUAAGCAAAAGAGGUUUAAUUGGGUCACAGUUCCACAGGCUCAACAGGAAGCAUGGCUGGGGAGGCCUCAGGAAACUUACAAUCAUGGCAGAAAGCGAAGGGGAAGAAGGUACAUCUUACAUGACCUGAGCAGGAGGAAGACAGAAAAGGAAGAGGUGCCACACACUUUUAAACAACAAGAUCUCAUGAGAACUCACUAUCAAGAGAACAGCAAGGGGAAAACUGCCCCUAGGAUCCAAUCACCUCCCUCCAGGCCUCUCCUCCAACACUAGGGAUUACGAUUCAACAUGAGAUUUGGGUGGGGACACAAAUCUAAACCAUAUCAGAUCCCAAAUAGCCAAAGCAAUCCUAAGCUAAAAGAACAAAGUUGGAGGCAUCACGCUACCUGACUUCAAAAUAUUUUACGAGGUGAUAGUAACCAAAACAGAUAGUAUUGGUAUAAAAGCGUACACAUAGACAAAUGGAACAGAAUAGGGAAAACAUAAAUAUAUAUUUAUAGCCAAAUGAUUUGGACAAAGGCACCAAGAACAUACACUGGGGAAAGAAUAUCUUCAUCAAUAAAUGGUGCUGGCAAAACUGGAUUCAUAUUCAGAAGAAUGAAACUGAUUUCCUAUCUCUCACCAUAUACAAAAAUAAACUCGAAGUACAUUAAAGACUUACAUGUAAGAGCCCAAACUAUAAACCUGCUAGAGGAAAACAUAGGGGAAACAUUUCAAGACAUUAGGCAAACAUUUCAUGGCUAGAAACUCAAAUGCAUAGUCAACAAAAACAAAAGUAGGCAAAUAGGGCCAUAUUAAACUAAAAAGCUUCUGCACAGAAGAGAAAAUAACACAGUGAAGAGGCAACCUGUUGAGUGGGAAAACAUAUUUGCAAACUGUUUAUCCAGCAAGGAACUAAUUUCCGUAAUAUACAAGGAACUAAAACAACAGUAAGAAAACAAAGAAUCCCAUUAAAAAGUUAACAUGAAUGGACAUUUCUCAAAAGAAGACAUACAGGUAUAUAAAAAAUUAACACCACUAAUCAACAGGAAAUGCAAAUCAAAGCCACAAUAAGAUAUCAUUUUACCUUAGGUAGAUUGAGUAUUAUUAACAACAAAAGAUGAUGCUGAAAAUGUGGAGAAAAGGGAACUGUUAUACAUGGUUGGUGGGAACGUAUGUUAAUAUAGCCAUUGUGGAAAACAGUAUGGUGAUUUCCCAAAAAACUAAAAAUAGAACUACCACGCAAUUUAGCAAUCCCAAUAUUUGAGUGGAGUGCAGGUAUCCCUUUGAAAUACUGAUAUCAAUAUACUGAUAUCCUUUCUUUUGGAUGUCAGUAUAUCAAAGGGAUACCUGCACUGCAGCACUAUUCACAGCAGCAAAAAUACAGAAUCAAUCCAAAUAUCUGUCACUGAAUGAAUGAAUAAAGAAAAUGUGGUAUAUAUACACAAUAUAAUACUACUUGGCUAUAAAAAAGAAUGAAAUCAUGUCAUUUGCAGCAAUGUGGAUGGAAAUGGAGGUCAUCAUGUUAAGUGAAAUAAGCCAGGCUGAGAAAAGGAAAUAUCAUAUGUUCUCACACACAUGUGGCAGCUAAAGAAAGUGGAUUUCAUAGAAGUAGAGAGUAGAAUGAUAGAGGCCAGAGAUUAGGAAAGGUGUGUGGAUAGGAGAGAGGGCAUGAAGAGAGGUUGGUUAAUGGGUACAAACAUAUAAUUAGACAGAAGUAAUUGGUUAAAAUGUUCAGCAGCAGAGUAGUGUGACUAUAGUUGACAACGAUGUACCUCAUGUUUAAAAAUAACUAAUAGAGAGCACUUGAAAUGUUCCCACCACACAGCAAUGAUGAAUACUUGAGGUGAUGGAUACCUUUAAUACCUUUAAUGACUUGAUCAUUAACACAUUCUGUGCAUGUAAGAAAAUAUCACAUGUACUCUACAAAUAUGUACAAAUAUUAUGUAUCAACAAAAAAUAAUGGCAAAUUGAAGGCAAGGGUCAGUAUUCACAGGAGGAGGGCCAUUUCUGGCCUUAACCCCUUACCCAAUCUGUUAGGACCUUGUCUGCCCUCUUUCUACGGGCAAUACGGUUUGUUGUUGUUAAAGGAAUGGAUAAAUGCAUAACAAGUAUUGAGCUUUGGUUACACAAUUAAUUGAACAGGUUGUGGCCAGAGGGCAAACCUUCCAGAACAAAUCAAGUACCUGCUAUACAUUCCUAUAUGCAACUGUGACACUGAGCUCAUGUCUCUGUCUCCUUGGUGUUGAUAUGACUUUCUUGUUACUAGAGGUGGGGAAAAGAGACUCAUCCUUUCUGAGAACUAAUAAUGACUUUUUUCCACUUGGUUGAGUUCUGAAAAUUACAGAAUUAUAGUUAUGAGUAACAGGACAUUGUUUAGAAUUGCAUUUUAUCGCUUCAAUAAAAUUCCCAAAUAUACACCA